rnacentral:rRNA from 1 species
GAACGCUGGCGGCGUGCCUAAUACAUGCAAGUCGAACGAGGUAGCAAUACCGAGUGGCGAACGGGUGAGUAACACGUAGGUAACCUGCCCUUAAGCUUGGGAUACCCAGAGGAAACUUUGGCUAAUACCGGAUAACAACAGAGAAGGCAUCUUCUUUGCUUGAAAGGCCCCUUCAAGGGUCACUUAAGGAUGGACCUGCGGCGCAUUAGCUAGUUGGUGAGAUAACAGCCCACCAAGGCGAGGAUGCGUAGCCGAACUGAGAGGUUGAUCGGCCACAUUGGAACUGAGACACGGUCCAAACUCCUACGGGAGGCAGCAGUAAGGAGUUUUCGGCAAUGGGGGAAACCCUGACCGAGCAACGCCGCGUGAGCGAUGACGGCCCUAUGGGUUGUAAAGCCUCUGUUGUAAGCCAUGAAUGAUAGCUUGAGGAAAUGCAAGCUAUUUGACGACAGCUUACCAGAAAGCCACGGCUAACUACGUGCCAGCAGCAGC